GAUGAACGCUGACAGAAUGCUUAACACAUGCAAGUCUACUUGAACUUCGGUUUGGGUGGCGGACGGGUGAGUAACGCGUAAAGAACUUGCCUCACAGUUAGGGACAACAUUUGGAAACGAAUGCUAAUACCUGAUAUUAUGAUGUUAGGGCAUCCUAGGAUUAUGAAAGCUAUAUGUGCUGUGAGAGAGCUUUGCGUCCCAUUAGCUAGUUGGAGAGGUAACGGCUCACCAAGGCGAUGAUGGGUAGCCGGCCUGAGAGGGUGAACGGCCACAAGGGGACUGAGACACGGCCCUUACUCCUACGGGAGGCAGCAGUGGGGAAUAUUGGACAAUGGACCAAAAGUCUGAUCCAGCAAUUCUGUGUGCACGAUGACGUUUUUCGGAAUAUAAAGUGCUUUCAGUUGGGAAGAAAAAAAUGACGGUACCAACAGAAGAAGUGACGGCUAAAUACGUG
rnacentral:rRNA from 1 species